rnacentral:tRNA from 1 species
GGAAAGAUGGCUGAGUGGACUAAAGCG